AGUGAACGCUGGCGGUAGGCCUAACACAUGCAAGUCGAACGGCAGCACAGUAAGAGCUUGCUCUUACGGGUGGCGAGUGGCGGACGGGUGAGGAAUACAUCGUAAUCUACUUUUUCGUGGGGGAUAACGUAGGGAAACUUACGCUAAUACCUCAUACGACCUACGGGUGAAAGCAGGGGAUCUUCGGACCUUGCGCGAUUGAAUGAGCCGAUGUCGGAUUAGCUAGUUGGCGGGGUAAAGGCCCACCAAGGCGACGAUCCGUAGCUGGUCUGAGAGGAUGAUCAGCCACACUGGAACUGAGACACGGUCCAGACUCCUACGGGAGGCAGCAGUGGGGAAUAUUGGACAAUGGGCGCAAGCCUGAUCCAGCAAUACCGCGUGAGUGAAGAAGGCCUUCGGGUUGUAAAGCCCUUUUGUUGGGAAAGAAAAGCAGCAGGUUAAUACCCCGCUGUUAUGACGGUACCCAAAGAAUAAGCACCGGCUAACUUCGUG
rnacentral:rRNA from 1 species